rnacentral:lncRNA from 1 species
UUCAUACACUCCUAUUCUUUCAUGUGUGAUGAACUUAUGUGAGAUACAUCUCUAGAACUUGCGUAACGGUCUUUCGAAAUGUUUGUCAUUGAUUGCAUGAACUUGGAAAUGAUAGAGGCAUUAGGUUUACCACUAUGGCCCAAAUAAUCAUGUUUCCCAAAUAAAAAUGAUAUCAUUAGAUUGCCAAUUUGAGCCGUGUAUGUUGAGCCUUUUAUUUCUUAUCACCAGAUAUGUCUACCCUUAUACCUGAAACAUUUUUCCUUACCCUUUCCAAGCAAGCUAGUGAGCAAUGUGAGAUUGUCUUAUGAGAAAUGUUUGUGAAGUACUUUGAAGGUUUGGCAAAAGAAUAAGUGUGGGGGUAUUUCAUGUUUGUAUUUAAAAAAAUAAAAAAUAAAAAAUAAAAAAUAAAAAAAGAAAAAGAAAGAUUGUAUACAAAGAAAAUAAAAAGUUUUUAAAGUUUCAGUUUAAGGGUGUGGUUGGAGGUUUCAGAAGAAUCGUUGGAGAGCUUGAGUUUUUAUAAAUCUAAAGAAAAGAAUUGCUUGCAAUGUAGCUUGGAACUUGUGUUUUCCUAUUCUUUCGUUUCAAUAACCCUAUCCCUAAGCCUCAUUACAUCCAAUAAAAGUCCUCUUGAUUUAAGUUUUGCAAUUAUGACUGUGGAGAAGUGAUCUUUAUGCAAGCUUAUGGUAGAAAUUUCACAUUUGAUUCUUUGAGCGAAAUACAUUAAAACUAAACACAUGUGUGAUUGAGUGCAUAUCCCGUGAGAAGGUCGCUAGUUUGCAUAUGAUGAUUUUAAAAAUAAAAACUUGAAAUUGCAUUAGCAUGGCUAUCUCACACACUACACUUCAAGGAUGAUUCAAAGAUUACUGCUAAUAUUUGAAUAAGGAAGAUGAACUUGGAUUAGUUUGUUUGAUGCUAGCUAUGGUUCUUGAUGAUUUGUUUUCUUAAAUGAAAUUCUAUGAGGGUCACAUAGGGGGAAGCUAAUGUUUUUCUUGUUACUUCUUGUUCUUGUUUUCUUUGUUUUGCUCGAGGACUAGCAAAAGUUAAGUGUGGG